GCGCCCCCUGCAGGCCCCGGGAGCGACUCACUGCGAGGAGACGUCGAACCGGACGUCCCGGUCCUCCCAAAGCGCGUCCAACACCGACAUGACGACCGAGGCCCGACGCCGGCCGUGACCGCCGCGGCGGAGGCCGAGGGGCGUCUCACCGGCUCCCAGGCAACGGGCCGCCUCUGUCGCGCCGUCUACGGCGGGCGCCGAGAUCCAAGCUUCCUGAGAGGGAGGCUAUCUGUCGUGAGCCUGGCCUUAUCAGGUGAAACCUUAAGGAGAUUUUUCUGCUGGAUUUGUUGAAAUAGCGGCCAAGCUGUGAGAAAGCCUCAUGGCUAGGAGCACAGGACAGCCUCUAGGAGCUCGGAGAACCGGCAAGAAAACAAACUCCAGCCAUCUAACCAUGAGGAACUGAAUUCUGCUAACUGAAAUGAGCCUGGAAUGGAACCCCAAGCCUCAGAUGAGAUCACGUCCUGCUGACACCUUGAUUUCAGGUGUGCUCUUCAGUGAAUUUUGACAAGUGUAUGCAUCCAUGUAAUCACUCCCAUAAUGAAGCUACAGAACAUUUCUGUCACUCUGAAAAGUUUCCUUGUGCCCCUUUGCAGUCAACUCCAGAUCCUGGGAAAUCACUUGUUUGCUUUCUAUUACUAUAGAUUGUUUUUCUUUGUCAUUAUUUUAUUAUGUAAAAUAAUUAUGUAAAAUUUGCCAUACUGUAAACUAAUUUUGAAUGUUCUAGAAUUUUAUAUAAAUGGUAUAAUAAAUCACAUAUAUAUACUA